GCUUGCUGUUUCGCUGACGAGUGGCGGACGGGUGAGUAAUGUCUGGGAAACUGCCUGAUGGAGGGGGAUAACUACUGGAAACGGUAGCUAAUACCGCAUAACGUCGCAAGACCAAAGAGGGGGACCUUCGGGCCUCUUGCCAUCGGAUGUGCCCAGAUGGGAUUAGCUAGUAGGUGGGGUAACGGCUCACCUAGGCGACGAUCCCUAGCUGGUCUGAGAGGAUGACCAGCCACACUGGAACUGAGACACGGUCCAGACUCCUACGGGAGGCAGCAGUGGGGAAUAUUGCACAAUGGGCGCAAGCCUGAUGCAGCCAUGCCGCGUGUAUGAAGAAGGCCUUCGGGUUGUAAAGUACUUUCAGCGGGGAGGAAGGGAGUAAAGUUAAUACCUUUGCUCAUUGACGUUA
rnacentral:rRNA from 1 species